rnacentral:rRNA from 1 species
CACGUAGGGGGCAAGCGUUGUCCGGAUUUAUUGGGCGUAAAGAGCUCGUAGGUGGUUCGAUAAGUCGGGUGUGAAACCUCCAGGCUCAACCUGGAGACGCCACCCGAUACUGUCGUGACUAGAGUCCAGUAGGGGAGCGUGGAAUUCCUGGUGUAGCGGUGAAAUGCGCAGAUAUCAGGAGGAACACCGGUGGCGAAGGCGGGUCUCUGGGCCGAUACUGACGCUGAGGAGCGAAAGCGUGGGGAGCGAACAGG